rnacentral:rRNA from 1 species
ACCGCAAAGCUAGCCAAAACAGAUCAAUAAAACAUCACUUAUUAUUUAAUAUAAGCACAACAUCCCUAACAUUAAAACAUUUUAUACUUCCUAGUAUAGGCGACAGAACAGAAUCUUUGAGCGAUAGAGACUAGUACCGCAAGGGAAAGCUGAAAAAGAAAUGAAAUAAUUCAUAAAGUACAAAAAAGUAGAGAUUAUCCCU